UACGGGGGGGGCAAGCGUUGUUCGGAAUUACUGGGCGUAAAGGGCUCGUAGGCGGCCAACUAAGUCGGAUGUGAAAUCCCCAGGCUUAACCUGGGAACUGCAUCCGAUACUGGAUGGCUUGAAUUCGGGAGAGGGAUGCAGAAUUCCAGGUGUAGCGGUGAAAUGCGUAGAUAUCUGGAGGAAUACCGGUGGCGAAGGCGGCAUCCUGGACCGGCAUUGACGCUGAUGAGCGAAAGCUAGGGGAGCAAACGGG
rnacentral:rRNA from 1 species